rnacentral:rRNA from 1 species
GGGAUUGCCCUAGUAACGGCGAGUGAAGCGGCAACAGCUCAAAUUUGAAAUCUGGCCCUAGGCCCGAGUUGUAAUUUGCAGAGGAUGCUUUUGGCAAAGCGCUUACCGAGUCCCCUGGAACGGGGCGCCACAGAGGGUGAGAGCCCCGUAUGGUAUGACGCCGAGCCUCUGUAAAGCUCCUUCGACGAGUCGAGUAGUUUGGGAAUGCUGCUCUAAAUGGGAGGUAAAUUUCUUCUAAAGCUAAAUACCGGCCAGAGACCGAUAGCGCACAAGUAGAGUGAUCGAAAGAUGAAAAGCACUUUGAAAAGAGGGUUAAAUAGCACGUGAAAUUGUUGAAAGGGAAGCGCUCGUGACCAGACUUGCGCCGGGCGGAUCAUCCAGCGUUCUCGCUGGUGCACUCCGCCCGGCUCAGGCCAGCAUCGGUUUUCGCCGGGGGACAAAAGCUUCGGGAACGUGGCUCCCUUCGGGGAGUGUUAUAGCCCGUUGCUUAAUACCCCGGCGGGGACCGAGGACCGCGCUUCGGCAAGGAUGCUGGCGUAAUGGUCAUCAGCGACCCGUCUUGAAACACGGACCGAGGAGUCAAGCAUUAGUGCGAGUGUUUGGGUGUAAAACCCGCACGCGUAAUGAAAGUGAACGUAGGUGAGAGCUUCGGCGCAUCAUCGACCGAUCCUGAUGUUUUCGGAUGGAUUUGAGUAGGAGCAUUAACGCUUGGACCCGAAAGAUGGUGAACUAUACUUGAAUAGGGUGAAGCCAGAGGAAACUCUGGUGGAGGCUCGCAGCGGUUCUGACGUGCAAAUCGAUCGUCAAAUUUG